UACGGAGGGGACUAGCGUUGUUCGGAAUUACUGGGCGUAAAGCGCACGUAGGCGGAUUUGUAAGUCAGGGGUGAAAUCCCGGGGCUCAACCUCGGAACUGCCUUUGAUACUGCAAAUCUCGAGUCCGGAAGAGGUGAGUGGAAUUCCUAGUGUAGAGGUGAAAUUCGUAGAUAUUAGGAAGAACACCGGUGGCGAAGGCGGCCCACUGGUCCGGUACUGACGCUGAGGUGCGAAAGCGUGGGGAGCAAACAGG
rnacentral:rRNA from 1 species